AAAGCACCAAUGCCCCUCUUGCCCUGUUGUCAAGCAGACCCCUGGGAGGGCCAGCCUCUUCUGUGGUGUGCGGCUGGGUGCUUUUGUGUUUGUGGACUGUGGCCUACCUGAGAAACAGGACCUGCUGUUUCAUCUCAGCAUUCUAUAUUGUAGGGCCUGGAGAAAAGACUGCCCCCGACAGAGCUCCUGAGUCACAAAGAGUGGGAACCCAGUGACUUACCCUUGCUUUCUAAAAGCGAAAGCUACACAGCAGUCAGCCCGCUUCCUUCCCACCUGCCACCUAGUGGUUCCCCGAAGAAUUGCAGCCUCCGGCUCAGGGCCAGAGGCCCCGGGGAUCUUGUUACCAUUCUGCAUUCUUAUCUGAUCUUCUUCAGAGGGCAUUAGCCCUGGAAGGCGCCUUAGAGAUCGUCUAAGCCAAUCUUCUCAGUUUACAGCUAAGGUGGUGCUGGGCAGGGCACUGAAGCUGGGAGACCCGGUAGCUGCCCUCAAGAAGCUUCCCGAGAAGGACGAUGAGCAUGCAAACAGGCCAUCACAGAAAAUGAGUGCUCUGUGGGAGGUAAAGAUGAAGGGCCAGGAGAAGCUGUGGAGAAACUGUGAAGGCUUCCCCAAGAGGUGCUACUGGGGCUAACUUCGGGUCGAGGGGUUCCUCCAGCAGGUGGCCCAAUGAUCUUCACACUUGGUGGACACUCUUCGCAUGCCUCUUCCCCAGACGGCCCUGUCCUAUCCUCUAUCUUCCAGGCUUUCUCCCCAGAGUUUCCUGAUCAGCCUGGUCAAUGCCUGGCCCUCCGCUCAUGAGUCUACGUGGACUCACAACGUGGCUGGCCAGGCGCCCUGCCAGAGUAUGGCUACAGCACAAGUGUACUGGGUGUAGCUUGCGCCCCUACACGGAUCCAUCCGGAAACCCAGCUCAGGCUCUUAACUCAUUCGUUGCCAUUCCUGUGGGAUCCCCCAUAUAGCCAGAGGUGCAAACUAAAGACAGAACACUGGUGCAGUGGAGGUGACGGUGCUGUAACGCAUCAGCGGGAUGUUCUGUGGGAUGUCUGGACAGCCUAGAUCUCUUCACGACGUCCUGACAGAGGGUGGAGCGUGAACAUGGUCCUGGGCAAAGCUCUGUGUGAAUCUUGUUGUCCAUCCCAUGGAAAUGCAAACUGUUUCUGCCCCUCUUUUCUGAUUAGAAUAGAAAAGAAUGCAUUUCCCAGAUCGUUGGCCACAUACUAUGUCCCUGCGGCCUUAUUAUGCUGCUCUCUCAAAGAUACCACAUCAGGGGUGCCCGGGUGGUUCAGUCAUUAAGCAUUUGCCUUCAGCUCAGGUCAUGAUCCUGGGGUCCUGGGGGCCCGGGAUGGAGCCCCGCAUCGGGCUCCCUGCUCCGUGGGAAGCCUGCUUCUCCCUCUCUCACUCCCUUGCUUGUGUUCCCUCUCUCGCUGUGUCUCUCUCUGUCAAAUAAAUAAAUAAGUAAGGAUACCACAUCAGCUGCAAUUGGGACUGCUCCUAGGUUGAGUUUGUUGUAGUCUGUUAUCAUCUUCCAGAAUUCAGCUGCGGAAGGAGAACUACGAUGAAGACCACCACCACUGCAUCCUUUGGAUCCCUAAGGCUGGCACCAAAUUCCACCAUCCUCCCCUCAGUGCAGUAUUGCUUGGCUGGGGAAGGGACAGUUUCAUCGGCUUUCACAGAGCUUUCUCCACUAUGAGAGCUCUUACCCCACAGGCCAAGGACCCACUGUGGGAAUUGUGCAAACUUCCAAGUAUGCUUAUCCCAGUUAUAUAUUCAGGGACCAGGCAAAUGAUCCCGGAUGGGUCUGCAGACCACAUGGACCCUUAGCCAGGACUGUAUGUAUUGUCCAGUUCCCAUAUGCCCCCAUUUUAGCAGGAGGACCGUGAUGACACUUCAGAUCUCGGUAUCUCACUCAAGUCCAACUCUGACUCUUGAGAUGUUCGGGUCUUCCUUUUCCCUAGUAUAGUGUUACUUGACUAAAUGACCUUUGGUCUUUUGGGGGAGGGGCUGGAUGGUCAUAUGGCGUAUACUUAAUAUGGUGUUGCAGGGGACCUGGCUAUGUCU